rnacentral:rRNA from 1 species
UACGUAGGGUGCAGGCGUUAAUCGGAAUUACUGGGCGUAAAGCGUGCGCAGGCGGUUUGCUAAGACAGGUGUGAAAUCCCCCGGGCUUAACCUGGGAACUGCGCUUGUAACUGGCAAGCUGGAGUGUGGCAGAGGGGGGGGUGGAAUUCCAGGUGUAGCGGUGAAAUGCGUAGAUAUCUGGAGGAACACCGGUGGCGAAGGCGGCGAUCCUGGACCGGCAUUGACGCUGAGGCGCGAAAGCCAGGGGAGCAAAGCGGGAUUA